rnacentral:lncRNA from 1 species
AGACUAGAAAAUUACUAUAUUUGCAACUCAUGAAAAAACACAUUAAAAAUCAUAGACAAUAUAGAAACAUGUAUGGACAUACAAGUGUUCAUUAUUCAUACAGAAAGAUGUCAGCCAUGGGGAAAGGAGUGCUUUCUUUAUUAUAUUGGCCAGCAGUUAAACUGCUACCAUCUGUCCUAGCACAAAUGGACCCUCAACUAUUGCUGCUGGAAGCUGGAAUGACUGCUGCUUUGGGGGGUUAUCUAGCAGGGCCUCAUAUACAUCUCCAUCUGUGGGAUGUCAUACAGGUGAGGGUGGGUACAGGAUAGAACCAGGCCUGUGAUUGGAUGAGAAGAAAGGAUGGGCGGGAGAAAAGUUUGAGAGAA